CGUUACUCUAGAAAGUAUUUUUUGAGAAGACAAAAGUUGCCAUUUGACCCCCAAAAACAAUGCCACGUAACAAGAAGACAAUUACAGUCAUCGAGAGUCCCGUCAAUCGAAGCAUACAACUCCGAGAUCCGUCUCUGUUCGAGAUGAGGUAAUCAUAACACGUGUUUGGUUCACAAACUCAUCACACUUCAAGAUAGAUCUGAAAAGUGGGCCCUUGAAGGUUUUCAUUGACGCGGCCUAGAUUGCCGUAAUUGCACACAACAGUCGCACACUUCCUAUGCCCAAAACUCUCUUGUCAUUUUAGGAUAU
rnacentral:lncRNA from 1 species